rnacentral:rRNA from 1 species
GACGAACGCUGGCGGCGUGCUUAACACAUGCAAGUCGAACGGAAAGGCCCUGCUUUUGUGGGGUGCUCGAGUGGCGAACGGGUGAGUAACACGUGAGUAGCCUGCCCUUGACUUUGGGAUAACUUCAGGAAACUGGGGCUAAUACCGGAUAGGAGCUCCUGCUGCAUGGUGGGGGUUGGAAAGUUUCGGCGGUUGGGGAUGGACUCGCGGCUUAUCAGCUUGUUGGUGGGGUAGUGGCUUACCAAGGCUUUGACGGGUAGCCGGCCUGAGAGGGUGACCGGCCACAUUGGGACUGAGAUACGGCCCAGACUCCUACGGGAGGCAGCAGUGGGGAAUAUUGCACAAUGGGCGGAAGCCUGAUGCAGCAACGCCGCGUGUGGGAUGACGGCCUUCGGGUUGUAAACCGCUUUCGCCUGUGACGAAGCGUGAGUGACGGUAAUGGGUAAAGAAGCACCGGCUAACUACGUG